rnacentral:rRNA from 1 species
GUAACAAGGUCUCCGUUGGUGAACCAGCGGAGGGAUCAUUACCGAGUUUACAACUCCCAAACCCCUGUGAACAUACCACUUGUUGCCUCGGCGGAUCAGCCCGCUCCCGGUAAAACGGGACGGCCCGCCAGAGGACCCCUAAACUCUGUUUCUAUAUGUAACUUCUGAGUAAAACCAUAAAUAAAUCAAAACUUUCAACAACGGAUCUCUUGGUUCUGGCAUCGAUGAAGAACGCAGCAAAAUGCGAUAAGUAAUGUGAAUUGCAGAAUUCAGUGAAUCAUCGAAUCUUUGAACGCACAUUGCGCCCGCCAGUAUUCUGGCGGGCAUGCCUGUUCGAGCGUCAUUUCAACCCUCAAGCACAGCUUGGUGUUGGGACUCGCGUUAAUUCGCGUUCCUCAAAUUGAUUGGCGGUCACGUCGAGCUUCCAUAGCGUAGUAGUAAAACCCUCGUUACUGGUAAUCGUCGCGGCCACGCCGUUAAACCCCAACUUCUGAAUGUUGACCUCGGAUCAGGUAGGAAUACCCGCUGAACUUAAGCAUAUCAAUAA